AAAAUGACUCUCGACAACGGAUAUCUCGGCUCUCGCAUCGAUGAAGAACGUAGCGAAAUGCGAUACUUGGUGUGAAUUGCAGAAUCCCGUGAACCAUCGAGUCUUUGAACGCAAGUUGCGCCCGAAGCCUUCCGGCCGAGGGCACGCCUGCCUGGGUGUCAUGC
rnacentral:rRNA from 1 species